UUGCAAUGUAAGUCAAUGGAGGCCAAACGGCGUUGAUAAACACGCUAAAAAGCGAGUAUGCGUCUUGAUAACAUGCCAAUAAUGGCACAAUAAUUGGCGUGUCGUACAUACACCACUUAAUGAGAUCAGUCUGCAAGUGUUAAUAGGUUUAU